UUUGACGUGAAGGUACAUAUUUGUGAUACCCACCCCCAGUUACUCAGUUGGUCACCUGUCCAAGUGACUACUAGCUCUGUUCAUAGUCUUUUGACCAUUGGAACAGUUUUUAAUUUGUGCUUUUGAAGUCUUUGCCUUUGCUAAAUUUCUUUUCCUCAAUGAAGAGGGCAAAUCAACACCAAUUGCUAAAAUAAGUCAUAUUAAGUUUAUCACACAUCUUUCAAUUUAUUAUUCUCUCUAAUGAGUAAUAUCAUAUAUUUUUCACCAUGGCAAGCUCAAAGAUUCAAUUCAAAAGGAAAUUCCCAAAAAAGAAUACAACUCACUGCAAUUGAUUCAACUUAGGUUUAAAGAGUCAUCACAUCAAUGAGGUCAUGGAAAGAAAGCUCUUUCAACAUAGCCUAUGUGUUUAAGUAAAGCAAACCAAAACAAAACUAAAUAAAAAACUGUGGCUACAUGUGUGUGCAAUAAAAGCAAAAAUAACAAAAAAUGAAAAAAAAAUUCAAACUGUG
rnacentral:lncRNA from 1 species